GUUCCCCAGAAGCACUAUGUGCCCCUUCUGUGAAUAAGACUUUGAGAACUUCUUAGGAGCUAAUGGAUGGCGUGUUUGUUGCUGUUUCAUGGAACAUGACAGUUGAAGUGUCACGGUAAGGGUCUGUGUAAAGAGUGCCCAGCUUACAAUAUGUCCUGCAGGCCAGACUGAAGAUCACUUGUCCCAGACAGCGUUAUUGGAUGGAGUGGGAUUGGUGGUGGAAGAAGACCAGGAGUCGAGUGACACAGCCCAAUGCCUUCGCACAGAUCCAUGUGAUACCAUACCUGCACAUAAAGUAGUGCCACUGUAGACACAGCUGAUACUCUUCAAUGGAUGUGUUUAUUCAAACUUUCAGACAAAAUGUCUCAAUCACCUGAGAGUUCCUGGAUAUAAUGAAGAGUGUCAGGAUAGGGACAGAACCUGGCAACAGGCUGCUGUUUCCAAAAGGAUCCCAUAAGCAUGGUGUUACUGAGAUACAUUCCCAAUUGCAUCCUCUCAUCAAAUUUUUCAUCUGAAGCUGUUAAAAUGACACAAUAUUCAAGAGCUUGUGUGGUGGUUUGGGUGUUUUCCUGGA